UAAUUUUGUAGUUUUAAACAUGUUUUGCAAGUAUUAGGUGUAAAGAAGCAAUUUGGAGAAAAUGCUCUUAAAAAUACCAAAAAGUGCCAAAAUUGGAAAAGCCACCUUCGGCAGCUCUUUCGGCGGCCGAACCUUCGGUCCAGAGGCGAAACUCAACCUCCUUCGGAAGCACUUUCGGGAGCCAAAACUGCCAGUCAUCUUCGGCGGCACUUUCGGCGACCGAACUUUCACUCUAGAGACGAAAGUCACCUUGUGCCGCCGAACCUUGCGUUUAGAGCAGAAAGUCCUGCCUCCGAAACUUAACUUAGGCAGCUGAAAGUGCCCCCGAACAGCCUCCUUCCUAUUCAAUGAGCCAAAUCUUGGAGAUCACAUGUUUCCUACAUAGUGCCAUGCUCAUUCAAAAUUCAAAUCAAGGCUCCACCUUCCUCAUUAGUGCAUAAAUCUUCUUGGACACACCAUGGACAGCAAUUAAAAGACCAAAAUGCCCAACCUUGCCCUCACAUGCACACAUAAGGCCAAGGGCACUUUGGGCAAAUCUCUACAAGAUGCAUGGACAACCACCAAACCCUAAGGAGCCUCUCAAGAUCUAUUUAAAGGCUUCAAGAAGAUCAAGAACUCAUCAUCUCCCAUCAAGGAUUGAUCAAGAAUUCGGCAAGGCUUCUCCUAGGCCUCCUCCACCUUAGUUCUUCAUCUUUUUGCUUUCUUUUCUUUGAUUUUCUGUUUUGGUUAAGCCAUGAGUGGCUGAAACCCUUAUUCUAGUUGAAGUUUGGUUGAAACUAAGGUUGUUUAAAAGGUUGUGAGAUCUGAACAUAAAGUGUUUGAUUUUGGUUUAUUCAAUAUUCAUGCAAUUGUGCUUAAUUCCAAGAUUACUUUGUUGUUUUGAUCAAAUUGGCCAUUUGAUUCUUGAUUGCAAAGUUAAUUGAUUGUUGGUUAGGAUAUUUGUUAGUCCGCAAUUGCUGGAAAUAUUCUGUCCAUAGAACACUUGGUGUAAAAACUAGGGAAUUGCAUGAUCUAGCACCAUCUUCAAGCGUUUGGAGUAGCUAGGGUUGGAUCUUUCUAGUUCUUUAUGCAAUUGACAAUUGUUUUGAUGCCUUUGGCCCAAGGACGUACCUUGGCAAUUUGUUGAUUAGUAAUUGAUUAGAGGAUGUUCCUUAAUUAAUUUGUUCUUAAGGAAAGACAUGGUGGUGUGAAGCGUUUUCUAUUCCCAUAACUAACCUAUUGAUUCAAUCAAGGUAAUCUAAGUUUCAAUGAUCAACCCAAACAACCAAAGUGGAUCCAUAUCUUCAACUAGACUUUUCUCAUAUUGAUUUCCUCUUUUAUUUUAAUUACUUGUUGUUUUAAUUGCUUUCAAUAGUUGUUAGUCAAAUCAUCUCAAAACCCCCCCUUUUUUACUUUAUUGCACUUUACUUUUAUUCUACUUUCAAUUACUUGCUUUCAAUUGUGUUCCCAAUUAGUUCUCUUGGUCUUGAUUGAGAAAAAUAAAUAGGUAAUCAAUUCUCUGUGGAUUCGAUCCUUCACCACUAUCUGCAGUUGUAAAUUGUUGAUAACCAAGAAGGUUAUUUUUGAUCGGCUUCGACAACCGCACUGUCAAAGAUUGGCGCCGUUGCCGGAGAAUUGAUUUUACUUGUUUGUUUAUUUUUCUUUCAUGACCAGGUCUGAGCAUAGGGACACUCUGCCCUUUGAUCCAAAAAUUGAACGCACCCUCAGAAGGCUAGGAAAGCAAGCCUCUACACCUGAAGAACAUUCUGCCCAACCUUCGGCCGCCGAACCAUCCCAACAUUCGGCCGCCGAAAGUCCUUCACUCCAGCAACCUAAUCUUGCACCAAUGGCAGAACCCCAAGCACCAGCUGCUGCCCCCAAUGGACAAGCUGUCCAGAAUCAAAUAGUUCAAGAAAAUCCAGCAAUAAGACCUCAAGUGCCAAGGGAAAGAACCAUGAGAGAGUUAGCAACACCUAUAGGUGAUCAAGCACCUCUUUGCAUCACCUAUCCACCUCUUACAGUUCCCUUUGAACUCAAGACAGGUUUGAUACAUCUACUCCCUAAAUUUAGAGGUGGAGAGAACGAAAAUCCACACAAGCACCUAAAAGAAUUUAGUAUUGUUUGUUCAUCCAUGAGACCUCAAGGGAUCUCUGAAGAUCAUGUUAAAUUGAGAGCUUUUCCCUUUUCAUUAGAUGACUAUGCUAAGGAUUGGUUAUUUUAUUUGCCACCUGGAUCUAUAACUUCUUGGGAUGAUAUGGUCCAAACCUUUUUGGACAAAUACUUCCCACCAUCUAAAUCAAUUGGCAUAAUAAGAGAAAUCACUAGCAUAAGACAAAAACAAAAUGAGGACUUGUAUGAUUAUUGGGAAAGGUUUGAAAGACUAUGUACAGGUUAUCCACAACAUGAUAUGUCAGACAAGACCCUUAUACAAUUCUUCUAUGGAGGAUUGAUUCCAUCAGAAACGAAACUCAUAAAUGUAGCUUGUGGAGGAUCCAUCCUAUACAAGUCACCAAGGGAGAUGAAGGAGUUGAUAUCUACUCUUGCAGCCUCAUCUAGGCAGUAUGGAGAAGAAAGGCAACUACAAAGAGCCAAUGAGGUAAGUUUUCCCACUAUCUCUAAACUAACAUCUGUUAUGAAAAAUAUUGUCGUAGAUGUUGUGCAACAGAUGCAAACACCCCAGCCACCUAGGCCAUGUGGGAUUUGCUCAUAUGUAGGACACCCGACUGAUCAAUGUCCUAUACUCCAAGAAGACCACUAGCAAGCAAAUGCCAUUGGAGGGUACCAUAACCAGCCCAGACAUGAUCCGUACUCAAACACUUACAAUCCUGGCUGGAGAGACCAUCCCAAUUUCAGCUAUGGAAGGGCCAACAAUACCCAAAACUACCAAAGAAAUCAAGCACAACCAGCACCUCAAAACUCUAAUCCAAGCCUUGAAAAGAUGAUGGAGACACUGAUAAGCACCAUGCAAGGCGUGCGACAAGACCUAGGACAAAUGGCCACCUCUAUAAGCCAACUGCAAACCCAAGGCAAACUCCCUUCUCAAACUGAAACUAACCCUAGACAGAAUGUCAGUGCCAUUACUUUGAGAAGUGGCAAAGAGCUUCAAGAUGCUAGUCAUGAGCAAGAGAAGGAAGUUGCACCAAAGACACCUUCUGCGCAAGAACCAAGGCCGCCUGAAGCCUCUCCAUCACAAUCUGAACCAUCUCCUGCGCACAAGACUGAUCCAAAAGUAAGUUUUCACAUUCCACCUCCUUUUCCAAAAAGAUUUGAAAGAACGCAAAAAGAAAAAGAAGAAAAGGAGAUCCUUGAGACUUUCAAAAAAGUGAAAAUCAACAUACCACUGCUAGAUGCUGUCAAGCAAAUUCCUAGGUAUGCAAAAUUUUUGAAAGAGCUUUGCACAAAUAGAAGAAAGCUUGCUGAAAGAGAAAAAGUAAGUGUAAGUGAGGUAGUUACUGCUGUUAUUAAAAGAGAACUCCCUACCAAAUGCAAGGACAAAGGUAUGUUCACUAUCUCUUGUAAGAUUGGGAAUGUUGGUAUCAAGAAAGCCAUGUGUGAUCUUGGUGCAUCCAUUAAUGUCAUGCCUCUCUCCAUCUAUAGAUCUCUAAAUGCAUGUGCACUAAAAGAAACAAGAGUUGUGAUACAACUAGCUGAUAGAUCUGUGGUAUACCCCAUAGGAGUUCUAGAAGAUGUCUUAGUCCAAGUAGAUGAACUUGUCUUUCCUGCUGAUUUUUAUGUAAUUGAUACUAAGGAAGAUAGUUGCAAUACUAGUUCUGACAUUCUUCUUGGGUGUCCUUUCUUAAGUACUGCUAGAACUAAAAUCGAUGUGCAUGAUGGUACUCUUACCAUGGAAUUUGAAGGGGAGGUCAUUAAGUACAAUGUCUAUGAUGCCAUGAAAUACCCACAUGAUAAGUCCCCAGUUUAUGGCCUUAAUAUUAUUGAUUGUUUAAGCCAAGAUGUGUUUAAUGAGAAUCAAGAUUGUAUGCUGGAUGAUGAUCUUUGCAGGACUGAAAACCUGAAACUGAAAGAAGCCAUCUGCAGCAUUCAGCAAUUAGAGGUAACGCAGACAGAAGACAUUCGGCCGCCGAACACAGCCUACAUUCGGCCGCCGAACCCCACUGCCCUUCAGACACUAGAUUCUGUUGCACCACUUUUGCAACACAUUGCGCAGAAGGAAGACGUCCUUCGGCCGCCGAACAUCUCUCGGCCGCCGAACCCAACCGACUUUCAGAAACCGAAUCCAUCGCCACAGUUCAUUCCGCAAACUGAAGACCUUCGGCCGCCGAACUCAGACACUUUUCGGCCGCCGAACCUCUCACAGCAGUCUCCAACGCAAGUAAGCUCUUCCAUCCCGCCUCCUUUACAAUCAAACCCAAAACAGUACCUUCCAGAUUCUAAAGAGUGUAAGGAUGAUCUCCUUGAACAAAUCUUUCUUGCCCAGUCUGAUGAACCAUGGUACGCAGAUAUGGUAAACUACUUGGCCACAGGUAACUUACCUUCUAACAUGCCAAAGCACACUAAAGAUAAGAUAAAAAAAGAUGCCAAAUACUAUGUUUGAGAUGAGCCAUAUUUGUGGAAAUAUUGUGCUGACCAAAUGAUAAGGAGAUACAAUCCUGAUCAAGAAAUAGCCUCUGUACUCACUUUUUGUCAUUCAUAGAGUUGUGGAAGACACUUUGGUCCAAGGAAAACUGCUCAUAACAUACUUGAAAGUGGCCUAUUUUGGCCCACAAUGUUUCGAGAUGCCUUUCUGUUUUGCAGGUCAUGCGCUAGAUGUCAACAGACUGGAAAUCUGAGCAAAAGAAAUCAAAUGCCACAGAACCCCAUCAUGGUCUAUGAGGUAUUUGAUGUUUGGGGCAUAAACUUCAUGGGACCAUUCCCACCAUCCUUUGGAUACACUUAUAUCAUCCUUGCAGUGGAUUAUGUGUCCAAGUGGGUGGAAGCUAGAGCAACUAAGACUGAUGAUGCCAAGGCAAUAGUAGACUUUGUAAAGACCAACAUCUUUGCCAGACAUGGAGUACCAAAAGCAAUCAUCAGUGAUAGAGGGACCCAUUUUUGCAAUAGGGUGGUGGAAAGCCUUCUCAGAAAACACAAUGUCAUACAUAGGACAUCCACAACCUACCACCCUCAAACAAAUGGGCAAGCUGAAGUCUCCAAUAGAGAAAUCAAAGCCAUCCUUGAAAAGACGGUCUCCCCAAACCGAAAAGAUUGGAGUACAAGAUUAGAAGAUACUCUAUGGGCCUACAGAACAGCCUAUAAGACCCCCAUAGGUAUGUCUCCCUACAGAUUGGUCUAUGGGAAAGCUUGUCACCUCCCAGUUGAGCUUGAACACAAGGCAUAUUGGGCAAUAAAGAAUUGCAACAUGGACCUUAAGGAAGCUGGACACCACCGCAAGUUGCAACUGCAAGAGCUAGAGGAAAUAAGACGAGAUGCAUAUGAGAACUCUUGGAACUACAAAACAAAAACCAAAGCCUCCCAUGAUAAUCAUCUUUCAAGAAAACAAUUUGAGGUUGGUGAUAAAGUCUUACUCUUUGACUCUCGGUUGAAAUUGUUUCCAGGGAAGCUACGGUCUAGGUGGAUUGGACCAUUCAUGGUAGAACAUGCCUACCCAUAUGGAGCUGUAGACAUCAAAAGCAUAGAAACUGAAAAAAUCUUCAAAGUGAAUGGACAUCGUCUGAAACCAUACUUUGAAGGAUUCGCAGUACAAGUAGUGGAAGAAAUUCCACUACAACCUCAUUCUGCCUAAGUGAUCAGGCCAUGCACACUACACCCCAGGGGAGUAUUUAGAUUCCUUUGUUCUCUUUUUCUCUCUCCUUUUACAUUGAGGACAAUGCAUCAUUUAAGUGUGGGGGUGCAUACCUUCUUCUUCUUCCUCCCUGCUUCUUCUUCCUCCCCUUCUCUUCAUCUUCUUCCUUUAUCUUCUGCGAUUUUACAUGCUUUCAGAUUGCAAAAUUUUUUCUUUUCUCCUUUCAGUCUUGCAUUUCUUUCAGUUAAUUAGCCACAGUUGAAUUUUAAUUUGUUUAUGCUUUCAAUAAAACACACACAACCAUAACCUUCUUCUUCUUUUGUUUUACUCUACUCAAACUGAUGAACUAUGUUGGAUGAGUUUUUCUUUCCAUGACCCCAUUGAUGUGAUAACUCUUUAAACUUAUGUUGAAUCAAUUGUAAUGAGUUGUAUUCAUGUUUAAGAAUUGCCUCUUGAAUUGAAUCUUUGAGUUUGCCAUGGUGAAAAAUAUAUUGAUGACCCUCAAUUGAUGAGAAUAAAUUGAAAGUUUUGUGAAUGAACUUAAUGUGACUUGAUUUAGCAAUUGGUGUUGAUUUGCCCAAAUCAUUGAGAGAAAGAAAAUUCAGCAAAGGCAAAGACCUCAAAAGCACAAAUUCAAAAACUGUUCCAAUGGUCAAAAGACUAUGAACAAGGCUAGUAGACACUUGGAUAGGUGACCAACUGAAAAAUAUAAACCAUGACAUCAAAAAUAGGUUGGUGACCUUUCCAAGUAAAAUCAAAGUGCAAAAGCCUGAAUAAAGUACUUCAAGGUAAGGACAAGUCAAUCCAAAAGCUAGAAAAAGUCUUAUCUAAACAAAUCAAUGUGCAUGUAUGGUCUCUCUUAAGGAAAACAAAUCCUAGCCAUGGUAAGCAAAGGGGAACAAGGAAAGAAGGUAAGUAAUCUUCAUGCAUAUAUUCUUCACUGCAAUGAUUCAAAAUAGGGGUUUAGAGUAAGAGCUUAAGUGGAAAUAAGGAUCUAGAGCAAAGAAAGCUUAUUUGACUAUGUUUAUUUGCUUGAGGACAAGCAAAAGACUAAGUGUGGGGGUAUUUGAUAGAGCAUAUUUUAGCCUAUAUUACCAUGAUCUUAUUGAUAUUUAUUUGUACCUAUUCUACCUAAUUUUGUGGUUUUAAACAUGUUUUACAAGUAUUAGGUAUAAAGAAGCAAUUUGGAGAAAAUACUCUUAAAAAUACUAAAAAGUGCCAAAAUUGGAAAAGCCACCUUCGGCAGCUCUUUCGGCAGCUCUUUCGGCGGCUGAACCUUCGGUCCAGAGGUGAAACUCAACCUCCUUCGGAAGCACUUUCGAAAGCCAAAACUGCCAGUCAUCUUCGGCGGCACUUUCGGCGGCCGAACCUUCACUCCAGAGACGAAAGUCACCUUCCUUCGGCGGCACCUUCGGCCGCCGAACCUUGCGU
rnacentral:lncRNA from 1 species